rnacentral:rRNA from 1 species
UACGGGGGGGGUAAGCGUUGUUCGGAAUUACUGGGCGUAAAGGGCUCGUAGGCGGCCAACUAAGUCGGACGUGAAAUCCCUCAGCUUAACUGGGGAACUGCGUCCGAUACUGGAUGGCUUGGAUUUGGGAGAGGGAUGCGGAAUUCCAGGUGUAGCGGUGAAAUGCGUAGAUAUCUGGAGGAACACCGGUGGCGAAGGCGGCAUCCUGGACCAAUAUUGACGCUGAGCCGCGAAAGCCAGGGGAGCGAACGGG